rnacentral:lncRNA from 1 species
GAGGUCCCAGGAGGGCUAAAACUGGAAACUCAUAUUUUCCAAUAAGAGGUUGGUCUUGGUGACCGUGUGGAUGAUGUCACACUAUAUUUUAGGGGAUGUACUAGUCGUCCCAAGGUUUUGUUCCCUGGUCGUAUAGCUAUACACACUAGGGCCCUUACAGUAGGGGGAACUUAACCCACAUAGCCCAUGAGUAGUUUAGAACGGCAAAGCUACACAGUACAUGUAAAGGUUUUAACCAUGC